AAUGAACGCUGGCGGCAGGCCUAACACAUGUAAGUCGAACGGAUCCUUCGGGAUUAGUGGCGGACGGGUGAGUAACGCGUGGGAACAUACCCUUUGGUACGGAAUAGCCUCGGGAAACUGGGAGUAAUACCGUAUGUGGUCGAGAGACGAAAGAUUUAUCGCCAAAGGAUUGGCCCGCGUUGGAUUAGGUAGUUGGUGGGGUAAUGGCCUACCAAGCCGACGAUCUAUAGCUGGUUUGAGAGGAUGAUCAGCCACACUGGGACUGAGACACGGACCAGACUGCUACGGGAGUGAGCAGUGGGGAGUCUUAGACAAUGGGGGAAAACCUGAUCUAGCCAUGCCGCGUGAUCGAUGAAGGCCUUAGGGUUGUAAAGAUCUUUCAGGUGGGAAGAUAAUGACUGUACCACCAGAAGAAGCCCCGGCUAACUCCGUGCCAGCCGCCGCAGUAACAC
rnacentral:rRNA from 1 species